rnacentral:rRNA from 1 species
CUGACGAGUGGCGGACGGGUGAGUAAUGUCUGGGAAACUGCCUGAUGGAGGGGGAUAACUACUGGAAACGGUGGCUAAUACCGCAUAACGUCGCAAGACCAAAGAGGGGGACCUUCGGGCCUCUUGCCAUCAGAUGUGCCCAGAUGGGAUUAGCUUGUUGGUGAGGUAACGGCUCACCAAGGCGACGAUCCCUAGCUGGUCUGAGAGGAUGACCAGCCACACUGGAACUGAGACACGGUCCAGACUCCUACGGGAGGCAGCAGUGGGGAAUAUUGCACAAUGGGCGCAAGCCUGAUGCAGCCAUGCCGCGUGUAUGAAGAAGGCCUUCGGGUUGUAAAGUACUUUCAGCGGGGAGGAAGGUGUUGUGGUUAAUAACCGCAGCAAUUGACGUUACCCGCAGAAGAAGCACCGGCUAACUCCGUGCCAGCAGCCGCGGUAAUACGGAGGGUGCAAGCGUUAAUCGGAAUUACUGGGCGUAAAGCGCACGCAGGCGGUCUGUCAAGUCGGAUGUGAAAUCCCCGGGCUCAACCUGGGAACUGCAUUCGAAACUGGCAGGCUUGAGUCUUGUAGAGGGGGGUAGAAUUCCAGGUGUAGCGGUGAAAUGCGUAGAGAUCUGGAGGAAUACCGGUGGCGAAGGCGGCCCCCUGGACAAAGACUGACGCUCAGGUGCGAAAGCGUGGGGAGCAAACAGGAUUAGAUACCCUGGUAGUCCACGCCGUAAACGAUGUCUACUUGGAGGUUGUGCCCUUGAGGCGUGGCUUCCGGAGCUAACGCGUUAAGUAGACCGCCUGGGGAGUACGGCCGCAAGGUUAAAACUCAAAUGAAUUGACGGGGGCCCGCACAAGCGGUGGAGCAUGUGGUUUAAUUCGAUGCAACGCGAAGAACCUUACCUGGUCUUGACAUCCACAGAACUUUCCAGAGAUGGAUUGGUGCCUUCGGGAACUGUGAGACAGGUGCUGCAUGGCUGUCGUCAGCUCGUGUUGUGAAAUGUUGGGUUAAGUCCCGCAACGAGCGCAACCCUUAUCCUUUGUUGCCAGCGGUCCGGCCGGGAACUCAAAGGAGACUGCCAGUGAUAAACUGGAGGAAGGUGGGGAUGACGUCAAGUCAUCAUGGCCCUUACGACCAGGGCUACACACGUGCUACAAUGGCGCAUACAAAGAGAAGCGACCUCGCGAGAGCAAGCGGACCUCAUAAAGUGCGUCGUAGUCCGGAUUGGAGUCUGCAACUCGACUCCAUGAAGUCGGAAUCGCUAGUAAUCGUGGAUCAGAAUGCCACGGUGAAUACGUUCCCGGGCCUUGUACACACCGCCCGUCACACCAUGGGAGUGGGUUGCAAAAGAAGUAGGUAGCUUAACCUUCGGGAGGGCGCUUACCACUUUGUGAUUCAUGACUGGGGUGAAGUCGUAACAAGGUAACCGUAGGGGAACCUGCGGUUGGAUCACCUCCUUACCUUAAAGAA